GAGGGUAUAGCUCAAGUGGCAGAGCACAUGCUUAGCAUGCAUGAGGUCCUGGGUCCAACCCCCAGUAGCUUCA
rnacentral:tRNA from 1 species